AUGGGCGCAAGCCUGAUGCAGCAAUGCCGCGUGUGUGAUGAAGGCCUUCGGGUUGUAAAGCUCUUUUGUCCGGAAAGAUAUGGCUCUGGUUAAUACCUGGGGUCCAUGACAGUACCGUAACAAUAACGACCGGAAUACUACAUGCCAGCAGCCGCGGUAAUAAGUAGGGUCCAAGCGUUAAUCGGAAUUACUGGGCGUAAAGCGUGCGCAGGCGGUUGUGCAAGACCGAUGUGAAAUCCCCGAGCUUAA
rnacentral:rRNA from 1 species